GAUGAACGCUGGCGGCGUGCCUAAUACAUGCAAGUCGAGCGAACAGACGAGGAGCUUGCUCCUUUGACGUUAGCGGCGGACGGGUGAGUAACACGUAGGUAACCUACCUAUAAGACUGGGAUAACUUCGGGAAACCGGAGCUAAUACCGGAUAAUAUUUCGAACCGCAUGGUUCGAUAGUGAAAGAUGGCUUUGCUAUCACUUAUAGAUGGACCUGCGCCGUAUUAGCUAGUUGGUAAGGUAACGGCUUACCAAGGCAACGAUACGUAGCCGACCUGAGAGGGUGAUCGGCCACACUGGAACUGAGACACGGUCCAGACUCCUACGGGAGGCAGCAGUAGGGAAUCUUCCGCAAUGGGCGAAAGCCUGACGGAGCAACGCCGCGUGAGUGAUGAAGGUCUUCGGAUCGUAAAACUCUGUUAUUAGGGAAGAACAAACGUGUAAGUAACUGUGCACGUCUUGACGGUACCUAAUCAGAAAGCCACGGCUAACUACGUGCCAGCAGCCGCGGUAAUACGUAGGUGGCAAGCGUUAUCCGGAAUUAUUGGGCGUAAAGCGCGCGUAGGCGGUUUUUUAAGUCUGAUGUGAAAGCCCACGGCUCAACCGUGGAGGGUCAUUGGAAACUGGAAAACUUGAGUGCAGAAGAGGAAAGUGGAAUUCCAUGUGUAGCGGUGAAAUGCGCAGAGAUAUGGAGGAACACCAGUGGCGAAGGCGACUUUCUGGUCUGUAACUGACGCUGAUGUGCGAAAGCGUGGGGAUCAAACAGGAUUAGAUACCCUGGUAGUCCACGCCGUAAACGAUGAGUGCUAAGUGUUAGGGGGUUUCCGCCCCUUAGUGCUGCAGCUAACGCAUUAAGCACUCCGCCUGGGGAGUACGACCGCAAGGUUGAAACUCAAAGGAAUUGACGGGGACCCGCACAAGCGGUGGAGCAUGUGGUUU
rnacentral:rRNA from 1 species